rnacentral:rRNA from 1 species
GACGAACGCUGGCGGCGUGCUUAACACAUGCAAGUCGAACGGAAAGGCCCUGCUUUUGUGGGGUGCUCGAGUGGCGAACGGGUGAGUAACACGUGAGUAACCUGCCCUUGACUUUGGGAUAACUUCAGGAAACUGGGGCUAAUAUCGGAUAGGAGCUCCUGCUGCAUGGUGGGGGUUGGAAAGUUUCGGCGGUUGGGGAUGGACUCGCGGCUUAUCAGCUUGUUGGUGGGGUAGUGGCUUACCAAGGCUUUGACGGGUAGCCGGCCUGAGAGGGUGACCGGCCACAUUGGGACUGGGAUACGGGCCGGACGCCUACGGGAGGCAGCAGUGGAGAAUAUUGCACAAUGGGCGGAAGCAUGAUGCAGCAACGCCGCGUGCGAGAUGACGGCCUUCGGGUUGGAAACCGCUUUCGCCUGUGACGAAGCGUGAGUGACGGUAAUGGGUAAAGAAGCACCGGCUAACUACGU